rnacentral:lncRNA from 1 species
AAGAACAUGACACCUUUAGGGGCUAAACAAAGGGCAAACGUUGGGGCAAAACCAGCAGACCCAAAGUGUGAGGCCAGUUGAGUUGGUAGAGAAAUGGGGGAAUGCCCCAAUCCAGCCACCCCUUGAACAGUACUUGGUAACCCUCUUUGCAGUAAAAGGGAAGGUGCACAAGUGAACAAGAACUGAGGGACCCUAACCAUUGGACCAGGGUUAGACCCUUGAGUGGAUUGAAUUGAUAGCACAUCUUGUGCAAGCUCACUCAUGGCGGUAAGGCCUGUCACAGGGUUCAUUGACAUGACCCCACAUGUGUUGUUAUGGCACCCUGGUCCAUCUCUGGUGGAGCAUAUGUGGCAAUAGUGACUGUCAGCUCUAGAGCAUUGAGUCGAGCGGCACCUAGGGGCAUGGUAGGUGGACGAACGGUAACUUUUCUCACAAGUAACCCAUAGUAACCUUCCAUUCAAGUCCACAACAAAUGGGACUUUCUGUGAAGGAGUUCUCUUGUAUAUGUUAGUCACAUAAAGUUUAGUUUUCGAAUCUUUUUGCAGCUGCAAAACGAACCUGUUCGGUUUCGAAGUCUUUUGAGAUUCAGAUAAAAGGAUGAAAGAAGAAACGGAAAGGAAAAUGAGAAGGAAAAGAAGGAAAGAAGAAGCCAUGAAAGCUCAAUGCCUGCACAGUGAUGCAAGAAGAGGGUAAGCGGUGAGGAAAUAAAGGGGGAAAAUGGAGUUACUUAUAGGCAAAUUGAGUUCUUAAAAUCUAGUCAUAUUUUUGGGUGAUCCAAGCAUUGUUCAUGUGAAAGUUUUAGGCAUUAUAUGCAUUUGGCAAGCAGAAGAUGAAAGUUAAGCAGGCUAAAGUUGGGAAAAUUCAGGCUAAAAGAUGGACCCCAAAGCAAAGGAACAAAAUUGAAUUGGAAAGUGUGGAAGGCACUUGGCAAUGGCUUAGAGCUUCUACAGCCGUGCCAUCAACACAUACAAGGACUUCAUGGGUUUGGCUUGGCUUGGACUGAACUGGAAUUUGAUAAAUUUCAUCUUUAAUUUCUCAAGCAUGUUAAUUUCUAACAUAUGGACAAAUAUGACCUUAUGGUAGAUAGAAGUUUGUACGUAAGGGAACCCUACUGGGAUUUCUGGGAUUUCUCAAUCAAGUCAUGUGAAACAUUAUUACAAUAGCAUUUAUUGACUUGUACUAGCUGCAAACUUGUCCAUCAUUCUAAAAAGCUAAGAGUUUUAGAUAAUCAUAAAGAACCCCAGAACGGACUCAGCGUAACAAUGCCAAUGGAAAUACAUAACCUUAUUAGUAACAAGAACACACCGAAAUUCACCCCUAGCGCAUCAUCAUCAAAAUCAAUAUCAUGACUAGAUCUACUGUAUCUUCCAUCAGCUUGUGUAUACGCAUAUAUCAAGCACAAGUCACUGAAAUUCGUCAAAGUUCUAUUCCUGUAUACCUGUGCAUCCGGUUGACCCUGCAAAUCCAUUAUAAUAAAAUAAGAGCAUAUAAAAAUGCAAAAACCUCGACAUAAACAAGAACAUCAUCCCCACCUUGAUAUAUGCAUUCCAUACAUGUGGAGGGGCAACUACCAAUUUCCUUGUAUCAUCCCAACUAAACCCGUUUUGUUCGAGAAGAUUCUUCACAUCAUUAUACUGCUUCCACAAAUUGGUAGAAUGACUUUUCAAAGUGUCCCUAUCGUAUUUACACCCAAAUUUCGCAUUGAAAAUAGAUAACAUAUCGGUCCAAGCUUGUUUAUUAAAUGUAUGGCCUAAUCUAUUACCCCUAUGCAUUUGAUCUAACAUAAGAUCAAUGAAAAACCGUUCCAUUGUCGGCGUCCAAUUUGUUCUUGCUCUAUCACUGCUACUAGGUGCAUUGCUCCCCAUUCUUCCCCCUACUAAUACAAAAAAGCUUCAUUAAUUUCUUAAUUUAGAAUUACAGUACCUUAAAAAGUUGAAAUUUAAGCGACAACUUACAAGCCCAUAAAAUUCAAAGCUAAUAUAAGCUCAAAUGAAAUAAAAAUUGAAAAGAUAAAAACAAGCUAGUAAAUUAUUUGUUCAAAAAGAUAUCUGCAAAAAGGGCAUUAAUAAUUGUUUAGUUUAAGGUUUCUACUACCUAAGAGCUUCAAGCAGACAUAUUCUAUCUAAAUUAAGUUGAGAUAACAUUAAAUUAGCUGUAACAUCUAAAAUUGAAAACUUUAUAACUUUUUUUUUUUUUGUCUUUUCCAGCAUUAUCCCACUAGUGAUACGAAAAAAUAAGCGAAACUAUUAGUAAAAAAUAAGCAAAAAAAAAUUUGAACCUUGGUACCUUUGGGUUUUUUGUCAGAGAUUUCGCGUACGAAAAUUUUAUUUCAAUUUCCGGGAAAUUUGAUCAGGAGUGUGUUUUGCGGGUGCUUUAGAUUCCAACCAAAAAGAUCAUGAAAGAAUGGGUGCUUUUGAUUGAAAGCUUGAAGGAGAAACUACAGCCUGUUUGGUUGCUGAGAAAAUGGGUAGUUAACAGCAAGAAAGUUCAAAGAAGUGGGCUCAAAAAGCACUUCAAUUGGACCCUUUCAGCCCAAAAACCUGAAGAUUGGACCCAAGGAUCCAACUCUUUAGUUAUAAAGAAACUAUUUAAUCAGAUGCGUUUCGAUAUAUUUGAAUUCACAUGCCAAUCGAAUUAAAACUCAAUCACAAUAGUUUAGAAACUUAAUAUUUUGAAUAUCCAUAUGUUUGUAUAUUUUAUUAUGUUAUAAAUGUGUUAAAAUAUUUUGAUUUAUACAAUUUUUGAUAAUUUAAUAAUUUCUAUUAUAUAAUUUUUAGAUUAUUUGUAAUUUCAGAUCUUAUGUUGUGUGAUUUUUAUAUGAUAAGAAAGUUUAAAAAUACGGAGAGCAAUUCCUUUUCAGAAUUAAUCAUUUUGAUUACAUUUCCAAAAAAAAGUGAAAGGGCCAAAACACAUAGAGAUGGCCUUUAUUGCAGUACACAUUUACAUGCAUAGAUCAGUACAUACACAUAUAUGUGUAUGCAUAGCUCUAAUUAUUCCGUUUAUCACAUUGGGGUAGUCGAAACUUCAACCAAGCAAAAGUGACCCUUACUGGGAAGCUUGCACUUUUGUUUUUAUGGAAUAGUAGUGAAGUUGAAAUUAUUGCAAGAAGUCUUGUAGAAUAGCAGGGAAGAACUGAAACCAAGCCUUGAUAUUGCCAUAUCAAACUGUACCAGAUUAUUCUCCAUUUGGUAAGCCCCAAUAAUAAUCGAAGCUCCAUUGUUCUUCAUUCCUCCAUCCACAAAAGCUAAGCAAGACACUCCUGGUGCAGCUUCAACAAGGGAGUUUGCUCCAUAAAUCCUCCACAUAACAUGCUUGUCAUGGAGCACAAGGUCGAUGUUAGGAACCCCUGGUCCAACCCUGCUUUUUUUGAAGCUUUUCGAGUUGAAACAGACACCAAAUGGCGCAACUGGUUUUACUUGGGGAAUAGCAGAGAGCUCCUUGGAGAAAAACUGUGUGACAGCUUUGAAGAUUGAGUGGUGUAGAAUGGUGUAAGGGUUGAUUGCACUGAGCUUCGUGCCUCCGACGCCUUGUUUAUUGAUCUAUAACAGCGCUGUGUCUAUCGGGACAUCCUUGUCGUUUAUCUUGAUUGAUAUAACUUCCAUGUAGUACUCUUAUUGGGGACUGAUGAUAAGUGGAGUGUAGCUUAAUGGUCAUGUUAUAUCAACAUUAGGCAGCAUAUAAUAAGGGCUGUCCCCAAAGAACAUGACACCUUUAGGGGCUAAACAAAGGGCAAACGUUGGGGCAAAACCAGCAGACCCAAAGUGUGAGGCCAGUUGAGUUGGUAGAGAAAUGGGGGAAUGCCCCAAUCCAGCCACCCCUUGAACAGUACUUGGUAACCCUCUUUGCAGUAAAAGGGAAGGUGCACAAGUGAACAAGAACUGAGGGACCCUAACCAUUGGACCAGGGUUAGACCCUUGAGUGGAUUGAAUUGAUAGCACAUCUUGUGCAAGCUCACUCAUGGCGGUAAGGCCUGUCACAGGGUUCAUUGACAUGACCCCACAUGUG